UACGGAGGGGGCGAGCGUUAUUCGGAAUCAUUGGGCGUAAAGCGCGCGCAGGCGGUCCUUUAAGUCUGAUGUGAAAGCCCACGGCUCAACCGUGGAGGGUCAUUGGAAACUGGGGAACUUGAGUGCAGAAGAGGAAAGUGGAAUUCCAAGUGUAGCGGUGAAAUGCGUAGAGAUUUGGAGGAACACCAGUGGCGAAGGCGACUUUCUGGUCUGUAACUGACACUGAGGCGCGAAAGCGUGGGGAGCGAACAGG
rnacentral:rRNA from 1 species